rnacentral:misc_RNA from 1 species
AAAAAAAAAAAUCCGUGAGAAUGGAGAAAAUGAGAAAAUCGUUGAAAUCAAGGAUUACGAGAAUAACGAUGAUGCGAAGUUUUCAAAUGCGUCUUAUUGGAAGAUCGAUCAUAUCGUUUUAUCGAACUACGGUUAAAGUCGAGUAGGAAGGAAAAAGUAAAAAUAUACUAAUAACAAAAAAAAAAGAAAAAGAAGAAGAAGAAGAAAAGUCGAGCCUUAUAUUCUUUUUUUUUUUUCUCUCUCUACGAGAAAAAUCCUUCGACGACUGCAAUGCGCGCGCGGUGAAACUACGAGCCACUAUACUAACACUACUGUGUUUUAUAUCACGAAUCAUUGUAUCAUCUUAACACGUAUAAUAUGGUAACUAUGAGCUCCGAAAAAUCGGCAUCCCGCCGAAAACCAAUAGAAAAUAACGAUACGAGAGAAUCUUCCGAUCAAAUUGGAGAAAGGGAAGAUAAUAAUCGUACCGAGGAGGAGAAUGUUGAAAAACAUAAUACACCCACGCAUCGUGUCACUGCCUGUUGCGCUGAAGAUACACCAAAUUAUCUCGUCUAUAAAAAGAUGGAAUCAUUGGUUGAAAAAAUGUUAAACGAAUCUACAGGUGUUCCUGUAAAAACAGUUAAAAGUUUUAUGACCAAAACUCCAUCCGUUUUUACAGGUACCGAUUUGAUAUCGUGGAUGAUGAAAACUAUGGAUAUUGAUGAUCAAGAAUCUCUUCACGUGGCACAUCUCAUGGCAUGUCAUGGUUAUUUUUUCCCCAUUGACGAUCAUUGUCUUACCGUUAAAAAUGACAACACAUUUUAUAGAUUUCAAACGCCUUAUUUUUGGCCAUCUAAUUCUUGGGAACCAGAAAAUACCGAUUACGCCGUUUAUUUAUGCAAAAGAACGAUGCAGAAUAAAACUCGUCUUGAAUUGGCUGAUUACGAGGCCGAGAAUUUAGCUAGGUUGCAAAAAAUAUUUUCACGAAAGUGGGAGUUCAUUUUUAUGCAAGCGGAAGCACAAAGCAAAGUCGAUAAAAAGAGGGAUAAAUUGGAAAGGAAAGUGUUGGAUAGUCAGGAAAGGGCAUUCUGGGAUGUACAUCGGCCGAUGCCUGGUUGUGUAAAUACAACGGAACUCGAUAUCAAAAAAGAAUGCCGCAGUCAAAAACCAAACUUCAGAUCGAGCAAAUAUUUGAAACAUGGUGAAAAGGCUUCUCCUCAUUCGGAAUCUUAUUUAGCAGCUUCGAUAGAAUCUUUGCAAAAGGAGAUUGACAUGUUGAAAGAUAGAUUGGAUAGAAGAAACAUCAAAGUAUCCAAAGUUGCGGAAGCUCUUAUAGGAUAUUUCGAACAGUAUGCCGAGUAUGAUCCAUUUUUUACACAACCUGAGUUUACCAAUCCAUGGGUAUCGGAUAGUUCGGAAAUGUGGGAACAAGAAAAAAUAGCGAAAGAAGUGUCUACGAGAAGAGUCAAAAGAUGGGCGUUUGGUCUUCAAGAAUUGUUACAAGAUCCUAUUGGUAGAGAACAAUUUAUACGAUUUUUGGAAAAAGAAUUCAGCAGUGAAAAUCUCAAAAAGAUGUUAACGUUAAGGCUGGAGAAAUUUGGAACGAAUUUUUAUGCCCAGAUGCGAGCUGUCCAAUCAACGUCGAUUCCAGAUCCUUCGAAAUAACAAAAAGAAAUCUUGAAAAACCUGAUCGUUGGUGUUUCGACAUAGCUGCGGCACACGUUUAUCAUUUAAUGAAAAGCGAUAGUUAUUCGAGAUAUCUUCGUUCCGAGAUGUACAAAGAUUUCCUCAACGGUUCGAAG